rnacentral:piRNA from 1 species
AGGAUUGCUUUUGGUUCAAGAUGUGCU